UUUGGAUGGUUUCCGCCCUUUAGUGCUGAAGUUAUCACAUUAAGCACUCCCCCUGGGGAGUACGGCCGCAAGGGUGAAACUCAAAGGAAUUGACGGGGGCCCCCCCAAGCGGGGGAAGAUGGGGUUUAAUUUCAAUCAACCCGAAAAACCUUACCCUGUCUUGACAUCCUCUGACAACCCUAUAGAUAUGGCUUCCCCUUCGGGGGCAGAGUGCCGGGGGGGGCAGGGUUGUCUCCACUUCGGGUCUGGAAAUGUUGGGUUAAUUCCCCCACCAAGCGCACCCCUUGAUCUUAUUUGCCAUCCUUAAUGUGGGCACUCUAAGGUGACUGCCGGGGACAAACCGGAAGAAGGGGGGGAUGAACUCCAAUCAUCCUGGCCCUUAUGACCUGGGCUACCCCCCUGCUACAAUGGACCGGACAAAAAGUCUCAAAACCCCGAGGGGGAACUAAUCCCCUAAAACCCUUCUCCAUUCCGAUUGUAGGCUGCAACUCCCCUACAUGAAGCUGGAAUCCCUAGUAAUCCCGGAACAACAUGCCCUGCUGAAUAUAUUCCCGGGGCUUGUACACACCCCCCGUCACACCACGAGAGUUUGUAACACCCCAAAUCCGUGGGGUAACCUUUUGGAGCCGGCCGCCUAAGGUGGUACAGAUGAUUGGUGUGAAGUCGUCCAAGGAAGCCCACCC
rnacentral:rRNA from 1 species